UGCAGUCGAGCGGAGAAGGGAGCUUGCUCCUGGAUUCAGCGGCGGACGGGUGAGUAAUGCCUAGGAAUCUGCCUGGUAGUGGGGGAUAACGUCCGGAAACGGGCGCUAAUACCGCAUACGUCCUGAGGGAGAAAGUGGGGGAUCUUCGGACCUCACGCUAUCAGAUGAGCCUAGGUCGGAUUAGCUAGUUGGUGGGGUAACGGCCUACCAAGGCGACGAUCCGUAACUGGUCUGAGAGGAUGAUCAGUCACACUGGAACUGAGACACGGACCAGACUCCUACGGGAGGCAGCAGUGGGGAAUAUUGGACAAUGGGCGAAAGCCUGAUCCAGCCAUGCCGCGUGUGUGAAGAAGGUCUUCGGAUUGUAAAGCACUUUAAGUUGGGAGGAAGGGCAGUAAGUUAAUACCUUGCUGUUUUGACGUUACCAACAGAAUAAGCACCGGCUAACUUCGUGCCAGCAGCCGCGGUAAUACGAAGGGUGCAAGCGUUAAUCGGAAUUACUGGGCGUAAAGCGCGCGUAGGUGGUUCAGCAAGUUGGAUGUGAAAUCCCCGGGCUCAACCUGGGAACUGCAUCCAAAACUACUGAGCUAGAGUACGGUAGAGGGUGGUGGAAUUUCCUGUGUAGCGGUGAAAUGCGUAGAUAUAGGAAGGAACACCAGUGGCGAAGGCGACCACCUGGACUGAUACUGACACUGAGGUGCGAAAGCGUGGGGAGCAAACAGGAUUAGAUACCCUGGUAGGCCACGCCGUAACGAUGUCGACUAGCCGUUGGGAUCCUUGACAUCUUAGUGGCGCAGCUAACGCGAUAAGUCGACCGCCUGGGGAGUACGGCCGCAAGGUUAAGACUCAAAUGAAUUGACGGGAGCCCGCACAGCGGUGGAGCAUGUGGUUUAAUUCAAAUCAACGCAAAGACCUUACCUGACCUUGACAUGCUGAGACUUUCCAAAAAUGAAUUGGUGCCUCCGGAACUCAAACCCAGGGCUGCAUGUUUGCCUCACCUC
rnacentral:rRNA from 1 species